CCUGAUCUGUAAACGAUACAACCCUCAUAUUCCGCAGCUUUACGGUGUGUGGAUAAAUUAAAUGUUUGUAAUACCAGUAACAUUGUCAAGUCACCCUUGUAUCGCAUGAGACGGUAUACCAGACGACGGGCCAUCGGCAGAUGACAAAUGACGGCUUGUUUGGAUUGAUAACAUUAUGUACCAGAAUUGGGUUUAGGUAGAGUUGCUUAUACACAGCGGCACACGGGUUGUGGCGUGAUCCUGGGACGUGUUGGCGGAGCUGAAGUUUCCCGUUUCUUCAGUGUUCAGUGCUACAUGUACUGUGAAGUCAAUUUUCCGAACAUUAAGACACGAGAGACUUCAUUUGUGAACACUGGAUGGCUACAUUAAUCCGUAUCGAGUAGAAGCUCUCCAUCAUUGGUUGAAAAGAGCCAUGUUGGUUGGGAGUGUGCAGAUUGUUGGUAGCGAUGCGACCAUAACGCGUGCAGUUCAUGUAGUUUUUUGUGAACCAGCGAAGUUCAGUUCUGACCAAAGGAGCCUCAACUGCUAAGAAAAUUGUGCCUUCUCUUGGUCCAGUUCGAUACUCAUAACCUGCAGGAAAGAUUAAAAUGAUGCACCAAUUUGACAAAAAAGUGCUUCGAUUACAACUAAAGAAAACGGAUGGUCAGACGAAAUGGCAUCGCUACACAAAAUGUGUACUUUCAAUUUUUCCUGAUCAUGAGCUCCGUUUGACAACUGCUGGUCAGACUGGACAGAUUAUGAACAACUCUCCGUACUCAAGUCUACAGAACCAAAUCUCACAAAGAAAUCUUUGAGGAAAAGAGGACAAGUUCGGGCGCCAUUUCCUCUCCUCUCAGACCUUCUGCCCCGGGCAAAGUGCUACCUAAAAAGCCCAGCAA